GGCGGACGGGUGAGUAACACGUAAACAAUCUGCCCUGAAGCGGGGAAUAACUAUCCCAACGGAUAGCUAAUACCGCAUAAUGAUGGAGGUGGCAUCACCUCUUCUCAAAAGGCUUCGGCCACUUCAGGAUGAGUUUGCGUCCCAUUAGCUUGUUGGCGGUGUAACGGACCACCAAGGCAACGAUGGGUAUCCGGCCUGAGAGGGUGUACGGACACAUUGGGACUGAGAUACGGCCCAGACUCCUACGGGAGGCAGCAGUAGGGAAUUUUGCGCAAUGGAGGAAACUCUGACGCAGCAACGCCAUGUGUGGGAUGAAGCAUUUCGGUGUGUAAACCACUGUCAGCGGGGAAUAAAUGGUCGCUUCGGCGGCAGUUGAAUGUACCCGCAAAGGAAGCCCCGGCUAACUUCGUGCCAGCAGCCGCGGUAAUACGAGGGGGGCAAAUGUUGUUCGGAAUCACUGGGCGUAAAGGGAGCGUAGGCGGGCUCUUAAGUUAGGUGUUUAAUCCCGGGGCCCAACCCCGGACAGGCACCUAAAACUGGGAGUCUUGAAUAGUGGAGAGGUCGGCGGAAUUGGGGGUGUAGCGGUGGAAUGCGUAGAGAUCCCCAAGAACACCAGUUGCGAAGGCGGCCGACUGGACACAUAUUGACGCUGAGGCUCGAAAGCAUGGGGAGCAAACAGGAUUAGAUACCCUGGUAGUCCAUGCCAUAAACGAUGAUUACUAGGUUUUGGGCCCGUCAACGGUCCAGAGCCGCAGCUAACGCGUUAAGUAAUCCGCCUGGGGAGUACGGUCGCAAGACUGAAACUCAAAGGAAUUGACGG
rnacentral:rRNA from 1 species